GAGAACCACUGCCUUAUAACAGUUCAGUUUAUAUUAAUGAUCUUUUCCUGCAGCCAGAAAUAAUUUGUUUGUCCUGCCACUGUGCCCUUAGUCCAAGUGCCACACUGAUGUACUGUUCUGCUGAGGAUGAAUUGAUAUAAAAAACAAAAAAGAAGGCGAUUACAAUAACAUCCAAAAGUAUAAAUAGUCACGGUUAUUUAAAGGAAGCUUGAAAGGCUUUAAAAACUGCAGCAAUCCUUUAGUCAAUACUGAUUGUCAAUAAAGCAGAUUAUUGUGAUUGUGCUUCUUGACAACUUUCCACAAGCUCCAGUAUGGGAUCAUGGAGGUACUCCAUCAUAUGCUUAUUAUUAUUCAGCUAAGUGGUACACAUCAAGUCAUGUAACCAUACAGACCCUCAAAACAUGUGUCUGCUUACACAUUCAGCUCACACUCCAACCACAGCAAUAACACAGUAGCAUCUAACACACUUGUCAUCUCAUGAUGAUUCACAUUCUCUGAAAUGUUUCUGCAGAGCCCCGGAGGUUUGUGCCUGAAACAUAGGCCUAUUUCAGUGAUCAUGAUAUCAUCAUAUGUUGUCUGGGUGAUUGGCCGCCCUGUCACUCUGAGGUCCCUGUGGUCGCUGAUCUUGCCCAAGGCUCUCCUGUGUUCUGGGUGGAAUGAACUCUCAACUGAAAACAAGACAGUCACUGCCCAUCACUUGCCACAGGCUGAAAACCUUUCACACUACCCUUUUUCAGACACACCAACACGCCAUGCUAGAGAGAAGAAAUACUUUUUUACAUCACAAAAAAGAUAA
rnacentral:lncRNA from 1 species